GCCGAGGUGGUGAAAAUGGUAUACACGCUAUCUUGAGGGGGUAGUACCUUAUAAUAUAGGUAUGCGGGUUCGAAACCCGCCCUCGGCA
rnacentral:tRNA from 1 species